rnacentral:rRNA from 1 species
AUUGAACGCUGGCGGCAUGCUUUACACAUGCAAGUCGAACGGUAACAGGCCGCAAGGUGCUGACGAGUGGCGAACGGGUGAGUAAUGCAUCGGAACGUGCCCAGUCGUGGGGGAUAACGCAGCGAAAGCUGUGCUAAUACCGCAUACGAUCUGUGGAUGAAAGCGGGGGACCUUCGGGCCUCGCGCGAUUGGAGCGGCCGAUGUCAGAUUAGGUAGUUGGUGGGGUAAAGGCUCACCAAGCCAACGAUCUGUAGCUGGUUUGAGAGGACGACCAGCGACACGGGGGAUGAGACACGGCCCAGACUCCUACGGGAGGCAGCAGUGGGGAAUUUUGGACAAUGGGAGCAAGCCUGAUCCAGCAAUGCCGCGUGCAGGAAGGAGGCCUUCGGGUUGUAAACUGCUUUUGUACGGAGCGAAAAGGCUCUCUCUAAUACAGGGGGCUCAUGACGGUACCGUAAGAAUAAGCACCGGCUAACUACGUGCCAGCCGCCGCGGUAA